UUGGGUGAAAUCAAUAUAGAUCUUACACUUUAGAAAUAGAUCCCACAUAAAGUGAUGAGACUUGUAUUGAUUUCACAUAA
rnacentral:pre_miRNA from 1 species